UACGGAGGGUGCGAGCGUGUCCGGAUUUAUUGGGUUUAAAGGGUGCGUAGGCGGUCUUGUAAGUCUGGGGUGAAAGCCCGUUGCUCAACAACGGAACUGCCUGGAAACUGCGGGACUGAGUACAGACGAGGGUGGCGGAAUGGAUGCUGUAGCGGUGAAAUGCAUAGAUAGCAUCCAGAACCCCGAUUGCGAAGCAGCUGCCUAGACUGUAACUGACCGCUGAGGCACGAAAGCGUGGGGAGCGAACAGG
rnacentral:rRNA from 1 species